rnacentral:lncRNA from 1 species
AGAGAGAGAGGGACAGAGAGACAGAGGGAGAAGCAGGCUCCUCACAGGGAGCCUGAUAUGGGACUCGAUCCCUGGACCGGGAUCACACACUGAGCCAAAGGCAGAAGCUCAACUGUUGAGCCACUCAGGUGUCCCAAAAGGCUAAAUUUUGAUCAAACCCAGAGUCUUUACAAAGUAAAAUCAGGUUUUUGAUCUACUCAAAUAAUCAAAAUUUAUGUAUUUUUUAUAGUUCUUGCCAUGCAUCAUGCACUUGCUGAAGGCUUAAAUAUAUUCCCUCAUUUAUCUAACUAUUAACCAUCCGUGGAUAGUCUUAUUCCCAUUGACUAUAAGAGACUCAGAGAGAUCAAGCCUCUAGUCCAAUGCCAGCCAGCAAAGUGGUAGAGCAGGGAUCUGAAUCUGAGUUGCCUGGUCCCAGAGCCCAACGUUUUAGUCACUAGUUAUAUCACUGAAAUGACAUGUUGCUCAGAGAUUCCCAAAAUGCACCAAACAACUGAGUAUAAACUAUAAAUUCAGGGACUCCAGUGCUCUUAAGGUAAGUGUCCCCCCAUUUGAAACAAUUUUAAAAUUCAGUGCAUUACCCUCCUGUUCCUUAUUAUUUAUCUGCCAGACAAAUGUAGUUGUCACAGAGCCAAUUAGUCUAUGUGAAUAUGACAAAUAUUCAAAUUAUACAUAUACAUAGCAGAGCAAAUACACUUCACAUUUGUAAUAUGAUGGCUUAUUUCUUCUGCAAACUUUUGUUUGGCGUGACAAAAGAUGUGCUGAAAACAAAUAUAAAUUAUGGAGGAAUUUGUUCAAUAAGUAUUCGCUUAAUAACUACCAUAUGUCAGCAACCAGGCUAGAGUGUAAAAAGUGGUAGGAUACAUUCUUACCCACACAGUCUAUUGGAGAGUCCAUCUUAGUAGGUACAAUGAAUUAACUGCUGCAAUUUGAAGAACACCAAUAAGGAGGUCAUGCCAACAUGUCCUGCCAUUUGUGUUUAGGACCAGUGACCAUCUCCUUGGACCAUUUUUCUUAACGUCCUCCAAGAAAUAGAUGCUACAACCAAGAUUCAUAGAAUUAAAUACACAACAAAAAAAUCCUCAGCAAUGUUUUAUGGUCCAAAGCACAAUGUGUAACUUAUAGCCCACUUAGAGAAAUCAGUUACAGUGAGAGAACACACCGUGAACUUAUCAUUUAUUUUCUUUUUUUUAAGACUUAUUUUUUUAAUAAGUCUUUUUUUAUUUUAUUUAUUUAUGAUAGUCAUCACAGAGAGAGAGAGAGAGAGGCAGACUGUAAAUAAGCAAGCAGUUCUGCAGGUCACAGGAUAUACUGAAAGGACAACCAGAAAGAAAAUCAACAAGAACACAAGGAUGGCGUGAAUGGAGAAGCACUUUCUGGAGGAAAUUACAUUAAUACUCUUUAUCUGAAGAUUCUUUCCAUAAAUCCUCUUGGUACUGUACACUUAGCUAGAACACUGAUUUGGUACCUGAUAACGGAUAUGAAAGACAUAGCUUAAAUGGCAAGUGGGACAGAAAUGUGAAGGCACAUUUUUAUUUAACAUUAUUUUGUACUUUUCCCCAAAGCAAUGUGGAAAUCACUGCAUCAGUUCAUGAUUACAUACAAAUAUUUUACAAAGCAAAACAGACUAGGACAUUAUGUUGUUUUCAAGUUUAACCCCAAAUCCUUUCCCAGUGUUAAUUAGAGAGUAACAAGUCUAUACAAGGUGUUGUUUAUCUGUUAUUUGCAAGCAUUAUGAUUUGCCAAUACCAGCAACUGUUAAAAGAAGCCCUUCUUACUGAGACAGCAUGAAGUAAAAGUACUUCAUUGUACCUAAUAAUGUUGCUUAAUCAAGCAACCAGUGAGAGUUUCAAAGGAGAGUAGCUAAUUUUAACAAAUAAAAAUAUAAAGUGUAAAAUUAACUACCAGCAGCAAAACGAAUCAUGUGUUCUCAGUCACUUAGGAAGGGGCAACCUUGCCUCAGAGCUGUAUGUGCCCAUUUGGAUUAAUACCUUAGAGGUAUUAGCAGGUGUGAAAACACAAACAUUACGAAAAUGUAAUACUUGUAACUAUAGCCUUGUUUAGAUAUAUUCAUUAAGGUAGAAAACCAAAAUGACUUUAUAUAGAACACUAUUCUCGGGGCACCUGGGUGGCUCAGUGGUUGAGUGCCUUUGGCUCAAGGCGUGAUCCCGAGGUCCUGGGAUGGAGUUCCACGUCUGGCUCCCUCCAGGGAGCCUGCCUCUCUCUGUGUGUCUCUCAUGAAUGGAUAAAUAAAAUCUUUAAAAAAUAAAAAAUUUUUAAAAAGAACACUAUUCUCAUCUUCAUUUUGCAUGAGAUAAAUCAAGUGUACUAUGAAUUCAGUGCAGUAAUGGGCACGUAUCCAUUUUAUUUUCUUUAUAAAUAUUCCCUCAAAAAUGAUGUGGAUAUGCCUUAAAAUGGCUAGCAAUCU